UACGAAGGGAGCUAGCGUUGUUCGGAAUCACUGGGCGUAAAGCGCACGUAGGCGGAUGUGUCAGUCAGGGGUGAAAUCCUGGAGCUCAACUCCAGAACUGCCUUUGAUACUGAAGAUCUCGAGUCCGGGAGAGGUGAGUGGAACUGCGAGUGUAGAGGUGAAAUUCGUAGAUAUUCGCAAGAACACCAGUGGCGAAGGCGGCUCACUGGUCCGGUACUGACGCUGAGGUGCGAAAGCGUGGGGAGCAAACAGG
rnacentral:rRNA from 1 species